rnacentral:lncRNA from 1 species
UCCGUCAAGGUCACGAACGUGAUGUUAUUCCUAGCCUUUACAAAGUUUUGAUCUUUCCUUAUUCUUUCUCAAUUUCUGCGAGUUGGCUAAAAUAGUCAAAGUUUUGAUCCUUCAACGUCUUUUGCCAAAUUGCUCAAAAAUUGGCUUCAUCUCCCUAUGAUUCCUACAUCAAGUAACAAAUCUUCGAAAGAUCUGUCGCCUAAUUUUACUCUCCCAUGCAAUUUCGAUGUCGACUUCGUCCACCUCCUUAUGAUUCCUACAUCAAGUAACAAAUCUUCGAAAGAUUUGUCGCCGAGUUUUACUCUCCCAUGCAAUUUUGAUGACGGCUUCUUCUAUAUAAGGUAAGUAUUUUACUUUUCACUUUCAAAUUCUUGACAUUCUAUAAUUUGAUUUUAAAUACAAGCAAAAACGAUAUAUUUUUAUUGCAACUCUAAUGGAGUUUGUAAGAAAUUAUAACCAUCUGAAAUGGUAAAAUUUCUAUGCCUUUCCAUGAUCAAAUUCAUGUAUGAUUGUAGGCAAAGAAUUGAUAAUCUGUCCCAUUGAAUUUGCUCAAUUCUCAUUCCCUUUACAGAAUGUGAUAGCAGCAUGUGAUAAGUAUGAAAGAAGACAAAAUUAUUACCAUGAAGGUAUCAAUGAAUGUCAUCAAGUAAUGUGAAUUUCAGUAGUUUCUGCAUGUCAUCAAGUGAUGUAAAUAAUAAGAUGUUUGAGCACUCACAACUUGUUGAGCACACUUGGCCAUAUGCAUAUUCUGCUCCGUGCUUUUCAUGUGAUUAUUUAGCUUAUGACCAAUUAGAUAUGCUUCUCUAUAAUUUGUAUACUAGCCCUUCAAUUUUAGUGUAUCAUUUGUUGCUGCUUGUUUGCUUCACACUUGCCUUGCAUAAAGCCCUUCAAUUUUGGUGCAUCAUUUGUUGCGGCUUGUUUGCUUCACACUUGCCUUGUAUAAAAUGUCACGAUUAAUUACCUUAUUCUGACUUUAAUUUCUGAGCUGCAUUUUGAGUUUUUACAUCUGUGUUAAGUGCGGAGAAUAGCUGGUUUUCGUGAUUCGUGAAGUAAUUUUG